rnacentral:rRNA from 1 species
UACGAAGGGGGCGAGCGUUGUUCGGAUUUACUGGGCGUAAAGGGCGCGUAGGCGGCGCGAGAAGUCGAGUGUGAAAGCCCCGGGCUCAACCUGGGAAUUGCGCUCGAUACUCUUGUGCUUGAGUUCGGGAGAGGAGCGUGGAAUUCCUAGUGUAGAGGUGAAAUUCGUAGAUAUUGGGAAGAACACCGGUGGCGAAGGCGGCGCUCUGGACCGAGACUGACGCUGAGGCGCGAAAGCGUGGGGAGCAAACAGG